CGACGACCGGCGCACGGGUGCGCAACGCGUAUACAAUCUACCUUAUGCUGAGGGAUAGCCCAGAGAAAUUUGGAUUAAGACCUCAUGGUAUCGGGAAACGGCAUCGUUUUCUGAUUAAAGGUUACGGCAUAAGAUGAGUAUGCGUCCCAUUAGCUAGUUGGUGUGGUAACGGCACACCAAGGCAACGAUGGGUAGGGGUCCUGAGAGGGAGAUCCCCCACACUGGUACUGAGACACGGACCAGACUCCUACGGGAGGCAGCAGUGAGGAAUAUUGGACAAUGGACGAAAGUCUGAUCCAGCCAUGCCGCGUGCAGGAAGACGGUCCUAUGGAUUGUAAACUGCUUUUAUACGGGAAGAAUAAGGGCUACGUGUAGCCCGGUGACGGUACCGUAAGAAUAAGGAUCGGCUAACUCCGUGCCAGCAGCCGCGGUAAUACGGAGGAUCCAAGCGUUAUCCGGAAUCAUUGGGUUUAAAGGGUCCGUAGGCGGACUAUUAAGUCAGGGGUGAAAGUCUGCAGCUCAACUGUAGAAUUGCCUUUGAUACUGGUAGUCUUGAGUUAUGGUGAAGUGGCUAGAAUAUGUAGUGUAGCGGUGAAAUGCAUAGAUAUUACAUAGAAUACCGAUUGCGAAGGCAGGUCACUAACCAUACACUGACGCUGAUGGACGAAAGCGUGGGGAGCGAACAGGAUUAGAUACCCUGGUAGUCCACGCCGUAAACGAUGGAUACUAGCUGUUCGGACUUCGGUCUGAG
rnacentral:rRNA from 1 species